CAGAAACUCAAAGGAAUUGGACGGGGAGCACUACAACGGGUGGAGCCUGCGGUUUAAUUGGAUUCAACGCCGGAAAUCUCACCGGGGCGACAGCAAUAUGAAGGUCAGGCUGAAGACCUUACCCGAUUAGCUGAGAGGUGGUGCAUGGCCGUCGUCAGUUCGUACUGUGAAGCAUCCUGUUAAGUCAGGCAACGAGCGAGACCCACGUCCACAGUUGCCAGCAUACCCUCCGGGGUGAUGGGUACACUGUGGAGACCGCCGCUGCUAAAGCGGAGGAAGGAGUGGGCAACGGUAGGUCAGUAUGCCCCGAAUCUCCCGGGCUACACGCGGGCUACAAUGGUUGGUACAAUGGGCAUCUACCCCGAAAGGGGAAGGAAAUCUCUUAAAGCCAAUCGUAGUUCGGAUUGAGGGCUGCAACUCGCCCUCAUGAAGCUGGAAUCCGUAGUAAUCGCGUUUCAACAGAACGCGGUGAAUACGUCCCUGCUCCUU
rnacentral:rRNA from 1 species